rnacentral:rRNA from 1 species
AGAGUUUGAUCCUGGCUCAGGACGAACGCUGGCGGCGUUAACACAUGCAAGUCGAGCGGAAAGGCCCUUCGGGGUACUCGAGCGGCGAACGGGUGAGUAACACGUGAGUAACCUGCCCCAAACUUUGGGAUAACCCUCGGAAACGGGGGCUAAUACCGGAUACGACACAGCUUCGCAUGGGGUCUGUGUGGAAAGUUUUUCGGUUUGGGAUGGGCUCGCGGCCUAUCAGCUUGUUGGUGGGGUAACGGCCUACCAAGGCGACGACGGGUAGCCGGCCUGAGAGGGCGACCGGCCACACUGGGACUGAGACACGGCCCAGACUCCUACGGGAGGCAGCAGUGGGGAAUAUUGCACAAUGGGCGGAAGCCUGAUGCAGCGACGCCGCGUGAGGGAUGACGGCCUUCGGGUUGUAAACCUCUUUCAGCAGGGACGAAGCGCAAGUGACGGUACCUGCAGAAGAAGCGCCGGCCAACUACGUGCCAGCAGCCGCGGUAAGACGUAGGGCGCGAGCGUUGUCCGGAUUUAUUGGGCGUAAAGAGCUCGUAGGCGGCUUGUCACGUCGACUGUGAAAUCCCGCGGCUCAACUGCGGGUCUGCAGUCGAUACGGGCAGGCUAGAGUUCGGUAGGGGAGACUGGAAUUCCUGGUGUAGCGGUGAAAUGCGCAGAUAUCAGGAGGAACACCGGUGGCGAAGGCGGGUCUCUGGGCCGAUACUGACGCUGAGGAGCGAAAGCGUGGGGAGCGAACAGGAUUAGAUACCCUAGUAGUCC